AUCUGAAACAGGCUCCAGGCUCUGAGCUGUCAUCACAGAGCCCAAGGCAGGGCUUGAACCCACGAACUGUGAGAUCAUGACCUGAGCCGAAGUCGGAUGCUGAAUCAACUGAGCUACCCAGGCGCCCCUCAGCAACUCAGUAUUAAGAAUUGCAGAUUUCUUUUGUAGGGUCAUUGGACCUCUAUGCCUGAAACAGACUGGAAGAAACAAAGGGGAGAGAGGCUGCUUUAGUCACAGUUCCUGCUUGAUAACGGUGACUUUCCAGUUUUCCCUGUUGUGAUCAACGGUACAGGUGAAGAGAAAGUCCAUGCUUUCCUUGACUAGGAGUCUCCUUCUGCUUC
rnacentral:lncRNA from 1 species